rnacentral:rRNA from 1 species
UACAGAGGUCUCAAGCGUUGUCCGGAUUUAUUGGGCGUAAAGAGCUCGUAGGCGGCUUGUCGCGUCGUCUGUGAAAUCCCCGCGGCUCAACUGCGGGCUGCAGUCGAUACGGGCAGGCUGGAGUUCGGUAGGGGAGACUGGAAUUCCUGGUGUAGCGGUGAAAUGCGUAGAGAUCGGGAAGAACACCAACGGCGAAAGCACUCUGCUGGGGCCGAAAACUGACACUGAGAGACGAAAGCUAGGGGAGCAAAUGGG